UGGGUAGUCCGCACGAGCGCACCUUAUUUUAGUUGCCACCAUUUAGUUGAGCACUCUAAAAGAACUGCCAGUGAUAAGCUGGAGGAAGGCGGGGAUGACGUCAAGUCAGUAUGGCCCUUACACCCAGGGCUGCACACGUGCUACAAUGGCUACUACAGAAGGCAGCAAUACCGCGAGGUGGAGCAAAUCCGUUAAAAGUAGCCCCAGUUCGGAUUGGAGUCUGCAACUCGACUCCAUGAAGUCGGAAUCGCUAGUAAAGGCGUAUCAGCUACGACGCCUUGUAAUACGUUCCCGGGCCUUGUACACACCGCCCGUCACAUCAUGGGAGCCUGGUGCACCCGAAGCCGUCGUACCAACUGCUUGCAGAGGGAGACGUCGAAGGUGUGCCCGGUGACUGGGAUGAAGUCGUAACAAGGUAGCCGUUGGGGAACCAGCGGCUGGAUCACCUCCUUUCU
rnacentral:rRNA from 1 species